UUUGUUGUUGGUUUUGAAAAAGAUCCACUUCAACUUAACUUAAAAUGAUACAGUGAGAGGUAUAAUUUGUUUUAUUUAACCCUUGUAUUUUCCUCCUAUGCAAAUUAGGAGCACCGAGUCGACUUGACCUUGUCUUUUUUGACUGCUUAUAAAAAAUGAACUAUAUAUGAUAGCCAUUUUUUUCACCUUUUCAGUCUAACUUGUACGGAGCCCACCCAAUCAGAGGCUUGGCCCACCCUGGCCCCACACCACAUAACAGCCAAUCACAAAAUUGGUGUGAUAUUCAAUUUUCAAAUUUCUGCCCAAUCCCCUUUUUCCCCUUCUAGACAGACAGACAGACUUAGCUCAUUCAUUCACAUUCACGCAACCUUUGAGGUAAACGGACGUGCUUAUAAAGCAAUAAAUGACAGUCACAGUAACUUUAUUACAACUGUUAGUGAAUUAACACACUAUAUAUAGCCUAAUAAAAUACAUGUACAGAUUUCUUGUUCCGAAAGGACAAAUGAAAAUCACUUUAGCUCUCCAGGACACAGCCACCACCUCCUCAUCCAUUUGCGGCAAUGAGGUCGAAGAAAUGGAUGAGUCGAGUUCAUCUGCAGCUUCCGAUGGUGUCAAAAGCACAAAUACACCCACUCAAAGAUGCAGCAAUUCUGUCUCGAAUGAUUUAAACAGUGCGAAUCCUUAACAGCCGGUUCUGAAAUCAUACCCCCAAACUCUUUUUGGAGGGAGAGAGAGAUGUUUUUCGGCCGCUUGGUAUCAGUCACGGCCGUGGCUUGAAUAUUCUGUAGAUCGUGAUGCAUGCUUUUGUUUUCCGUGUCGAGUGUUCGGUGUUGCUUUCUCUGAAAAUGACACGUUCGUUUCGACAGGUUUUCGAAACUGGAAAGCAGCAUUAGAACAUGACCGUGGUCUUCAAAAAUAUUUACAAUCCUCAACCUCAUGGACAGAGUUUUGCCACCGAUCGGUGUCGGGGGAGACCGUAGCAUGUUUGCUCGGCCCCCAACAGGUAGAAAAGAAUCGCUAUUACAUAAAAAGCAUGGCAGGUGUUGUUAAGUUUUUAGCAGUCAAUGAGCUGCCCCUUUUUUAACAAAACCCAAUUCUUACAGUUCAUGCUUCACUCAAGUAACAGGUUUUUUUCUAGUUGAUGUAAAUAGUUAUUUUAAAAGAACUGUCCCUUUAAAAAAAAAAAACAUUACAAGAAUAAACCCAAUUCUUAGAGUUCAUGCUUCACUCAAGUAACAAGUUUGUUUUAGUUGAUGUAAAUAGUUAUUUUAAAAGAAUUGCCCCUAUUUAUCAGAUCUAAAGUUACUUAACUGACAAAAGAUCUGUUAAGGGGUCAAAAAAUAUUACAAAUGCAAAAAAGAGAGAAUGUAAAAAUAAACAUGUUAAUCCUUUUUGGUCCGUGUAUCUUUUGGUCAUUCGACUUUCCAUUUAGAAACGGGUAUUAAAAACAAAAAAGAGUGGCAAUAUGAUUUUCAUUUUAAAAUACAAAAAUUACAAUUGAAAUACAAAGCGUUUUUCUUUUUCAUGGUCAAAAUGAAUAAAAUUUUAAAAACGGUUUGAUUUUCAUUUUCUAUUUUGAAUGACAAAAAAAUAAAAUCACCAGAAAACAGAAACGAAAAAAGGCCCGUUUUUUAUAUUCCAAGACCGGAUGUGGUCAUUUACAUGACAAGAGCGCCAAAUUUGAGAUUGUGCCAAUGUUGCUUUAGCCCAGACUAAAAUGUCUUUGGAACCGUACUCAGUUAUGAUAUUAGAUAUGGCAAAACAAGGCCUGUCAUCUGCAGAAAUCUCUGUGCAGAUAUCCCACGAAAGUGGGGGAGCAAGAGGAUGUUCUGCAAGAAAUGUGAGGAGAUUUUGCGCUGAAAAUGGCUUAAGUUUGAUGGGACUCCCCGAUGCGCAUUUGGAGUUAGAGGUGGCAAAAGCUAUAACACGAGACGGGACCUACAUAUGGAAGAAGGAUGAUAAAGGGGUAUCUCGCCAUGAAAGGAUUGCAUGCUGCAGAGACUCGAAUUGGAACAGUGCUCAGAACUGUGCAUCAGUCUUACCAUGAAGCAAGACGUCAGGCCUGCUUGAAUAUGGUAUAUGGGCCCAGGUGCGAGUAGAUCAUGGCAAGGAGUUUUAUUUGACACUCUUCAUGCAGGAGCUGCUGACAUCUCAUCGCCAUAAUCAGGAGAGAAGGCCUUAUUUACAGACUUCAUCCACAAGGAUUGACUGAUGAACCUUUGUUGCAAAUUCAGAAUCAUAUAACGAAUCUGGCCUGAAGUCAACAGUCGUGUCAAAUAUCCACUGAAGACAGCUCUUCUGGAGUUGGUAGAUCAAGAGGAAAUAGACAUGAACGACAGCCUUGUGAGAUACUGUGUGUCAAACCUGACUGGCCAGUUGUGCCAGAUUGGUCUUACAAGGCGUGUGGAGUCAUGGAAUGCUCACCAAAUUCCAGGUAAAGGUGUACCAAAUGACUUGGCUGGCUGUGGAUGUCCCAAAAAAAUCCCACAGGAGCUGCUGCCUCAUUCAGUUGAUGCAGCAGACCUUUACAGCCAACAGCUGGGAUCCCCAUUGACCACACAUUCAACUUUUGGAUUUGAUUCAUUUUCAACUGAACAGGACAAACUUAAAGUUGAGAAUCAGUUUGCUGAGCAAUAUUUAGACAUUUCAAACUUGUUCUCUAGAGCAGUGAACAAUGACUUGGUUCCGUACAAACAGGCAUUGCUCUGUCUUAUAACCACAACUCAGCGCAAUGUGUGAAAAGCAGAUUACUCUAUUUGAACAGAAUGUAAAUUUGUAACAAGAACAAUGAACACCAAUCACAUCAACCAGCCUAAACAUGUAAAUAAAUUAACAAUACAACUCAAUUUUUGAAUCAAUAAAACAAAGUCAAAUACAACAUUACCGCCACCUAUCGCACAAAAGGACCAUUGGCACUCUCCCUAUGAUUUCUUACUCAAAUUACCAAUACAAUCACUCUUUAUUCUUAUACCCACAUAUAUGCUUCAUAGAAUUUCAUCCGGCGCUGCGUGUUAAGCUCCUCACUCAGCCUUGUGGCGGUAAAGAAAAAUAAAUAAAUAAAUAAAUAAAACCACUUAUAUACGCUUGUAAACCAGUACUUUCCAAAAAAAUGUAACAUUACUGGCAUUAUAUUUCUACCUGGAUAUAAUAAAUGUAUUAUCGUAAAGUGCUCA